rfam:Gossypium hirsutum cultivar TM-1 chromosome 7, whole genome shotgun sequence
AUACCAUGGUGAGGACACCUUUGCAAUAACUCUUUGAACUUCUCCCAUGCCUCGUGUAACAUUCUUCAUCGAAUUGUUGGAAUGUGGUGAUCUCAUUCCGAAGUUU